rnacentral:lncRNA from 10 species
GAAGUCUUCCUGAAGAUCUCUGGCUCUCUCUCUCUCUCUCUCUCUCUCUCUCUCUCUCUGUAUAUCUCUCUCACCUCUAGUACUAUGUCCUGUGAACUCUACCCACUCGGGCAUCCUCAGACUCUUAGCUCUAUCUCUCCCACUCAGGAAGACUGCCAGACUGUCUGCAGUUCCCUGCCCUGUGACACAGUCUGGACACUUUUUCAACACAAUAAACUAGGGAAAUUAUUGGGCUCACUAUUUUGUUACCUGACUCCUGGAAAUAACUGUCCUUCAUUGACUGACAUUCAAUGUCUUGAGGGCCAUCCCUUCAUUGAUUUUGUCCACGUUUUAUUUGUUCGACAUGAAGGUAAAUAUCUAAAUUAUCUGUGGCAACAACUUGGUGGGGUCAACUCGAAUGUUUUUGUCGGCUGUUCUUGAAGACUUCUGGGUCUCUACAACCACAUUCUUUGGCUGGUGCCAGUGUUUAAGCACUCUGAAACUGCAUAGCAGCAUGUUUGAAGGUGGCCUGUCAAAUUUGGGAAACUGACGGUGUGACUGAGCUAGUCACAGGGGUCUUCACAGAAAAGGCAGUCGGGGUCCUGGUCAACUGGAGAUUCCAUCUGAAUGUGAAUGGAUUUAAAAGGUGACUGGAACACUUCUUUCUGACCUCAGAGAUGUGAUGGAUGUCCGGGAAGAUUUUCUCAAGGGCUAGAAGUUAAGAACUUUGUUCCUACUGUUUAUCUUUUUCCCUUUCAUAUUCAAGCCACUUAACCAUACUGAGCCUCAACUUUUUCAUUUAUAAAAUGGAAAUCAUUUUAACUUUUCUCUGGAGGACAGCUGUUGCCUGCCCAUCACUAUUUCCUCCUUUUCUGGUGACAACAUCCUACUUUCCUUCAAAGAAUAAUGCCUACCCCAUUAUAAUAACUUUUACACGGGGCUGUCCCAACACAUGCUGCCUUCAAGGCUAGGUGCAUGACACAGGCCUGGCCAAUCAGUGUGUCCAAUCCCUCUGGCCACUGUGAUUGGUCCAGUUACGGGUAUAUGAUGCAGAUCAAUCCAGUAAAACUCAACCUCGUGACUUUUACUGGAACCAUCAGUCAAGACGCCUUCUUUUUCUGUGAGUUUUCCAGGCUAGGAGAAGGAAAGUUAGAGCCCUGGGAUGCCACGUCAUGAGAAAAGCCUGCCAGAGAGCAAAACUAGCACAAAGGAAAGAAAGUAUUCCAAUAAAAGGGUGACGCUGAAAGCUGAAAUGUGAAUUUGUUAAAUCCUCAAAUAGCCAACAGCUUCUAGGACAAGAUCAUACACAGUUAGGACCUCGAUAACAAUUUGUUAGUGGAAUAGAUAAGAACAUUUUAGAUCCUGUUGCUCAAUUCUGAAAUGCUGCUCUGUGUCAUGAAUAUUGGUUUAUUUUCUUUGUAGAGUGAAGUCAUUAAGACUAGAGCUCCAGGCUUCUUCAUCCAACUCCAAGGGUUCCCAGCAACAUGUGAAGUCCUCUAUCUGUCACUAAGAAGCCGUGUGAGUGAAGCAGGCUAUAUACCUUGGUUUCAACAUCUGUGAACAAGGAGCUAGCAGACAGGAAAACAAAUUUGUCUUAAAUACCCCAAGUUUAUAGGCUUCUCACCCCUCGGCAGCUGCAACUGGCAAAUCUAGUUUACAGAAAUGGGAGAUGAGGGAGAUGUGCACGUUUUUCACUGUCGGAACUUGAGAGGCAGUGAUGGAAUACUUACGAAGUAGCAGCUCUCGGCAGAUGAGAAGAAUACACCUUGGCAGCUGCUGGAUCAAGGCAAAUGAGAGACCCAUGGAGCUCACUAAAUCCAACUCUACAGCUUGGAGCUAAGCCUAACUUAGCCAAGUCUAAACCAGUUUGACCUCAGCCAAUUCACAGAUGUUUGAGCCAGAAGUAAGGUGCUUGUUGCUGGAAGCCAGUUAAAUUUUGAGAUCUUUUUGAAAAAUAUAUUGUCAUUGCAGACAUAGAUGCACAUAGUUUUCCACACUGUGGGAAGUCAAAUUAAGCAUGCUUAGACUUUUAAAGCAGAAGCCCAUUAUUAGUGGGGUGGCAAAAAUGUUACAAGUGACAUAGUCCUCCAAUUUCCUUCUUCUAGCCCUCUGCCUAAGAACUAGUGUACUUCAUUUUGAAGUGGAGCCCUAACGGGAGUGUUCAUCUUCUGUCAACAGGGUUAAGCCUCUUGACGCUUACUGGGCACUCACAGUUGUUAGUUCCCUGGAAGACAUGAAAGAGCUUGAUUGGUUCUGUAGUCGUCAGUCAAUAACCAACUGUAACAUACCUACACUUCCAACAAAAUCUUGAUUUGGGAAAUUGAGUGUCUGCUUAUAGUUAAUCCUCUAUUUUUUGACACCUAGUAGGAAAAACAUUUUCAAAAGAGCCAUGACCUGACUCAGUUAAUAUGCAAGGAAAAAUAAGCAGUUCCAAACUUGUCAGUUUAUCCAUCAUCCCUUAUCCAAAAUCCUUCAACUCUCUUGGAAUUAUUUUGUUCUUCAUACUUGCCCAACAAAUAUCUUACUCUUGUCUUGGACUUUAUUUUAUAGUUAUCUCACAUAAGCUCCUUGUGGCUAAGGGCACAUAUUUGGAAUCAGACUACCCUAGUUCAACUCUUGGGUCUACCAUUUAUUAGCUUGUAUUACUUUGGGAAAGAUAAUUAAAUUCUCCAGAUCUAAUUUCCCCCAUUAUAAGAUAAUAAUAGUUAUUACCUGCUAGGAUUGUCUUGAGAAGUAAAUUAGAUAAUUCAUAAGAACCAUUUAACACAGUGCCAGCCACAUAAUGAAGGCAUAGUAAGGGAAAGUUAUUAUGCUGUUGAUAAUACUUGUCUAGGCAGGGGUCUCAUAUUUUUCCCUGUAUCCAUUACUGUACAAUUCAUCUGUCCCAUGACAUUCUAAGAUUGUUUUAGAGUGAGUUGCUUCAGAGUUGAAUAAUUCUAAUAAUAUAUUCUCAUGUUUGGAAACAACUUGGAAUUCCAUUUAGUGUAGACAUCAACAAUGAAAUCGCUAGAGGAUGAGUAAUUUCUACAAUUUUUAUUCAUUAUAGAGAGACCAAUGGGUAUAAUGGUGAAAAGAACUGAGUAGAAGGUCAGGAGGUCAAAGAGACUGAGUUUAAACCCUCACUCUGCUGAGUACUGUUAAUAAUGGUAUGAUCUUAAGAGAACUAAUCUUUAGUUUUUCCCACCUUAAAAACAGAGUUGUCAUGAGUAUUUAAUAAUAGAGGGUAGUAUGUAAACUUCCUGGCAUAUAGCAACUGCUCAACAAAUAGAAGUUAUAGUUUUUUCUUAACUUGCCAAAGAGCCAAGGGAAAAAUGAAGAUUUUGUAGCCAAAGCCAUUUAUCUUUCUCUGUUAUGUGCCUAUCUGUUCCAGAAACAGAAUCAAUUCCUUGAACCUCAUCAAAGGAAGGAUUUGAACAUUUAAAAAAAAAUCAAUCUCUUUGGGUUUGUUAUUGCUUGUUUCCCAUACCUCAGAGACACAAAUACAAACCUUUAUAAUGUCAUCAGGAAGAAGAGGAGUCAAACACUCCUUAACUCAAUAAUUGCAAUGUUAUUAUUUUGCAAGGAAUAGAGUCAAAAUUCCAUUCACAUGAGGACUGUAACUUCUUCAUUACUCCUUGAGGCACGAUGUCCUUGAUUUUAAGUAGCUCAUGUAGAAACUAGUUGUAAGUCUUUAGCGGAGAGACUGUACUGGAAUUAUAGGAUCUACUUAGGGGUUUGAGCUUCCCCACCCACUUAGAGUGACAGUUCACACCUAUAAAAACACAAAAGUCCGGGGGUUUAUUAAACAUUAGGAGAUCCAAAGAGCCAAGACUUCUACCUGUAAAAGUGGUGCUUCCUAAGCAGAAGAAAUGGAAUUUCUCAGAGAAUACAGCUUGGCUUGACCAAUGGACUGUACAAGGAAGAUUAGGAGGUAAUUACUGGGGUAAAAGAGAAAUGGUUGCAUCUUUCUGGAACACUCUAAUAAAACUGAAAGUUUUUCCUGAUUUCUUCUUUUAUUUGAUACAAGGGUCAAAUUUGAUACAUAAAGUCAUAAUGUCCCACAUGUACUUCUCAGGAACAUCUGUUUAGUCCUACUACAAAACUUGGGGAACAUGGUUUCCUAAUGUGGUACCAGUCGUCUCUUCAUGGAUGACUUCAGGAAGAAAUUCUGACUGGCAGACUCCACAAGUAUAAGACAAUAAGAGGCCAAUUUCUUUAUUCUUCUCCUCUUCUCCGCUUGUCCCCCCACCUCAUUAGCUUUGGGAGAAUAACACAGUGUGGAACAGAAAAAUAAGGAGCCUUGUUGUACUUCAUUGGCCUCAAGAGGUCUCAUCUAUUAAAUAGAUCCAUUAUGUUACUCUCAGAGAAAAUUAUAGUCAAAAAUAUUUCAAGUUUUAGGGCAGUACUGAAUAUAUAAGGGCUCUGUUACUUAAUCUCUGUGCUCUUAUCUUGGGGCGGCAAAGCUCAGUAGGGCUAUCUUGAAAGUAGCCUGAAAUCAAUUGGUCAGAUGAAAUCAAUUGGUCAGGAGGAGCCCAUCAGGAGGAUCAAGGACAUGGGUGACACAGUGAGUGUAAUUAUUAGUCAGGAUAGGUUAGGUUAGGCAUUAGUGGCAAAUUAUCUCCAAAUCUCAGUGGCUUGGUACAAUAAAGGCUUAUUGCUUAUUCAUGCAGCAUGUCUACUGCAGGUCCACAAGGGCUCUGUUCCACUCACAGAUCCAGAUUGUAACAUUCUUUGCCAUCUCAUAGCUACAUGAUCUAAACAUCAGCAGAAGGAAAGUGUCUUGGGUCAGGCUACCUGGAAAACAGAUCAAGAUAAAGAUUUCUGUGCAAAAAGGUUAUUGGGGAGGGAACUCUAAUUGAUAUCUGCCAGGGAUAGUGCAAGAAUGGUUGAGCAGACAAUUGUUGAACUACUUACUAUGUAUGUAGUAACAACAAAGGUCUUGACCAACCCAAAAGGGAGUCCUGGAGCUCAAAUGGUUCUUCACAGUUCUCUCACCUUAAGGCAAGGGACCUGGGCCUUUAUUAUCCCUUAUCAACCAGUCAUUUGAUUAGCUUGACCCCAGAGAGAGGUUAUGACCUUGAGUAAAGUGGCUCUCCUCUACUGAGGAUAAUUCCAGGAGAGCAACUCAGCUGAGAGCUGUCAGCAAUGGGAGGAAUCAGAGUCUCAGUCCUGAAGAGCAGAUCUGGGCAGCAUAUCAUAGCAUCCACCACAAGGGGGAAAGUGCGUGCACUUUUCAUUGCCUCCACCUGGGAGUGACAUAUGCCAUUUUUUGCUGUCAUUUCAAUGACCAAAAGGAGUCACAUGAUUCUAAUUGGAAGGAACCUGGG